rnacentral:rRNA from 1 species
UGAAUACGAGACGCUAAGGCGUCGAAGUAGUGUAUGUCAUACUUCCAAGAAAAGCUUGCACUGUCAUAGAUAAAAAACGCCUGUACCAUAACCGACACAGGUGGGUAGGUAGAGUAUACUAAGGGGCGCGAGAUAACUCUCUCUAAGGAACUCGGCAAAAUAACUCCGUAACUUCGGGAGAAGGAGUGCCUUAUUAUUAAGGUUGCAAUAACAAGAUCCAAGCAACUGUUUAUCAAAAACACAGGUCUCCGCUAAGUCGUAAGACGAUGUAUGGGGGCUGACGCCUGCCCAGUGCCAGAAGGUUAAAGAAGCUGGUUAGCAUUUGCGAAGCUAGUAACUGAAGCCCUGGUGAACGGCGGCCGUAACUAUAACGGUCCUAAGGUAGCGAAAUUCCUUGUCGGGUAAGUUCCGACCCGCACGAAAGGCGUAAUGAUUUGGAUACUGUCUCGGAGAGGGGCUCGGUGAAAUAGACUUGUCUGUGAAGAUGCGGACUACCUGCACCAGGACAGAAAGACCCUAUGAAGCUUUACUGUAACUUGAAAUUGAAAUUGGACUUUAUUCGCGCAGUAUAGGUGGGAGGCGUUGAUUAUAAUCUUGCGGGAUUAUUGGAGCCAUUAGUGAGAUACCACUCUUGUAAUGUUAGAUUUCUAACUUUGAAUCAUUAUCUGGUCAAAGAACAGUUUCAGGCGGGCAGUUUGACUGGGGCGGUCGCCUCCUACACGGUAACGGAGGCGUACAAGGGUUUCCUCUGAACGGUUAGAAAUCGUAUCUAGAGUGUAAAGGCAUAAGGAAGCUUGACUGUGAGACCUACAAGUCGAGCAGGGACGAAAGUCGGUCUUAGUGAUCUGACGGUACUGAGUGGAAAGGCCGUCACUCAACGGAUAAAAGUUACUCUAGGAUAACAGGCUGAUCUCCCCCAAGAGUUCACAUCGACGGGGAGGUUUGGCACCUCGAUGUCGGCUCAUCGCAUCCUGGGGCGGUAGUACGUCCCAAGGGUUGGGCUGUUCGCCCAUGAAAGCGGUACGCGAGCUGGGUUCAGAACGUCGUGAGACAGUUCGGUCCAUAUCCGGUGUAGGCGUUAGAAUAUUGAGAGGAGCCUUCUUUAGUACGAGAGGACCGAGAAGGACAUACCUCUGGUGUACCAGUUAUCGUGCCAACGGUAGACGCUGGGUAGCUAUGUAUGGAGUGGAUAACCGCUGAAAGCAUCUAAGUGGGAAGCCCACCUCAAGAUAAGUAUUCU